rnacentral:tRNA from 3 species
GCCCAGGUGGCGGAAUGGUAGACGCGGCAGACUUAAAAUCUGCUGUCCGAGAGGGCGUACAGGUUCAAGUCCUGUCCUGGGCACCA